ACCCCAACCUGUCACCAGCCAGUGGCCAGUCCUGGGGCAUAAGGGUAGCAUGAGUUUCCUGAGCCCAGGUGCUCUGAACAAAGGCGAACGCUAACCCUCCCCACCUGGCAGCACCGCCUCCUUGCUCACUCGCUGCUGUGAGCCCCGGAAGAAUGGCACAGUUGCUUCACAGGACUUGUUCAAGAUGACAGCACCAUUCCGUGGCGGCUCUGGCACCAGGGACACCCAAAAAUGCAAGCUACAGUCUGACUAUAUAAGGUGUUGAAAGCUACAGGAAAACAACAAUCACUGCUUUCAGGCUCUCUCAUUUGGAAUUCUUGGAAUUCUGUUUCAUCUCCCUCUCUCUCUGUUAUUAACUGGCUUUUCCUUUG